rnacentral:rRNA from 1 species
AACGCGAAUAACCUUACCCGGGUUAAAUCACUGGUGCAAGGUGCAGAGAUGCAUCCCCCGGGCAACCGGCGCUAGUGAAGGUGCUGCAUGGCUGUCGUCAGCUCGUGUCGUGAGAUGUUGGGUUAAGUCCCGCAACGAGCGCAACCCUUACCGUUAGUUGCCAGCAUUUAGUUGGGCACUCUAGUGGAACUGCCGGUGAUAAACCGGAGGAAGGUGGGGAUGAUGUCAAGUCAUCAUGGCCUUUAUGUCCAGGGCUACACACGUGCUACAAUGGCCGGUACAAACCGUCGCAAACUCGCGAGAGGGAGCCAAUCGGAAAAAGCCGGUCUCAGUUCGGAUUGGAGUCUGCAACUCGACUCCAUGAAGUUGGAAUCGCUAGUAAUCGCAGAUCAGCACGCUGCGGUGAAUACGUUCCCGGGUCUUGUACACACCG